AACGAACGCUGGCGGCAUGCCUAACACAUGCAAGUCGAACGAGACCUUCGGGUCUAGUGGCGCACGGGUGCGUAACGCGUGGGAACCUGCCCUUAGGUUCGGAAUAACUCCCCGAAAGGGGUGCUAAUACCGGAUAAUGUCUUCGGACCAAAGAUUUAUCGCCUUUGGAUGGGCCCGCGUUGGAUUAGCUAGUUGGUAGGGUAAAAGCCUACCAAGGCGACGAUCCAUAGCUGGUCUGAGAGGAUGAUCAGCCACACUGGGACUGAGACACGGCCCAGACUCCUACGGGAGGCAGCAGUGGGGAAUAUUGGACAAUGGGCGGAAGCCUGAUCCCGCAAUGCCGCGUGAGUGAUGAAGGCCUUAGGGUUGUAAAGCUCUUUUACCCGGGAUGAUAAUGACAGUACCGGGAGAAUAAGCUCCGGCUAACUCCGUG
rnacentral:rRNA from 1 species